GCUCAGUGGUAGAGCGCUUGCCUUGCAUGCAUGAGGCCCUGAGUUCGAUUCCUCAG
rnacentral:tRNA from 1 species